UACACUUAUCACCGAUUCUGCCAUUUUGUUGAUGACUUUGUUUCGGCCAUUUUGCUUCCGCUUUUCGGCUUUUGCCCACUCUCGAGCAGCACCUGUAGAGAAAAUCAAUGGCCCGGCCCGGCUCGGUAGGCCCAGUUGAAUCUGUUUCAGAAAAGCCCAAUUGGGGAGGGAGCGGGAAAAGCGGAAGAUGGCGAGCACAUCGAGAUCUCUGCAAGGAAACAGGAGAAAAGAGUCGUGAUUAACGGCUUUUUUGUCUUUAGAGAAUUGAGUGAAUUUUAAAAAUAAUUUAUUGUUUGAAAUGUUUGGCUGAGGAAUCAAUUCUAGGCAUUGACUUGCAGACGCUAAACCCAAAGGCACAAACAGAGAGGAAGAGAUUCCCCAACGAGGAGGGAAAAGAAACAGAGAGAAGCAGGGAAGGCGAAUUGCUUUUUUCUAUCCUUUGCUUUGGAAAGGUCAGCACCCAGCACUGUGUGAGAGCCCGAACCCCUUUGACAUGGAAAUAUGACAUAGCUAUCUUUCCUUGCUUUGCUUUUCUUUUACUCUAUCAGUGGUUAUGUCUUUCAUGUGUUUUCGCUUUCUUUUAUGGUUAAAGUGUGUACCCACAUGUGCAACCUUUCCUAACUUGCCUCACUUUGCCUAGUUAGACUUUGUUUGGAUCUCAUCUAACCGAAUCCAAUGUUUGAAUUUUAAGUGCUUUAGAUUUUCUUUUGGUUGGAGGGAUUGAGAAUUGAGUCAACUGGUCUUGUGUACUUGGUUAGUUUUAGUUCACUCUUCCAUCUCUCUUUUGUGUCAACGCCAAAACUAGAGGGGGAGCUAGCUCUAACCCAGGAAGCUUCCUGCUCCCCUUCCUCUGCUUAGCCCUGUUCUCUUUUUGCUCUUUUUGUUGGAUUUGUCAUUGUCACUCUCUCUUUAAAUUCCAAAUAGAGAACACCCACCUGCCACAACACUACUAAGCUUGCUGCUUCUUUCUGUUUCUGUUUCAGUAUCAGUAUCACUCUGUCUUGAUUAUCUCUACCCCUCCAUUCAGGUCUCACCAGGUACGUUUUCUAGUUUUCUUCUUUCUUCUCUCCAUUGAUCUUUUCUUUUGUCUUCUUCUUUUUCAACGUGGGUGCCUACUGCUGUUUUUAUUGUCUCCAUCUCAAUUGUAAUUUUGGGUUUUUCUUUUUCUUUGAUGAUUUGCCUAUGGGGCUUUUGGGCGUAUUCAUAUCAGUCUGCUUGUUUGGCAAUCUUCUUUCUGCUGCUAUUGGUGUUGUGUCUUGUUUUUCUGCCAAAUUACAUGAUUUAGCUGCGUGAUGCUUGUUUUCUACUUGUUAGAACAGAAUCUGUUACAAGAAUAAGAAUCUAGACUCUAGAGUGAAAAAAUGCCCUCAUUUACUAAUGAUGUUAUCUGUUCCCUUUUCCCCUCUUCCUUUUCCCUUUUUGUUGUUGAUGCAAUUUCCUCGUACUUUCUCUCCAUAAACAAAAAGGGUUCAUUGCUUGAUCCUCUUUUGGUUCUUUCCUCUCGCCUUUUCUUUUCUUUUUCACUUUUUAGGCUGCAGCUUCUAGUAAUUUAUUCUCAAAUUGGCUGCUUUUAUUCCAAUCUUUGAAGAAAUUCUGUCUUCUGAUGUAUGUUUAUCUAGGAGAGCAACCAGGUCUAGAGUCUUCUUGAUGAGUGAAAAUUUAGAAAAAGAAAGAAAAUUUGUAAGCCUUGUUUAUUCAAUUUGUUGUUAAUGUUCUAGGACCAUCCUUGGGUUUUUUUGCCAUAGAUAACGAGGAUUUCCAGGGAAUUCACUAUAAUUUUUUUCACUUUAGUGGUAUGAAUUCUAAAUGGAUAGGAUAGCCACUUUAGCUUUCCUUCAUGAUCGUGCAUUAUAUUCUUCUGUCAAAGUUCUGGUACUGCAUUCACUAAUAACUUUAUUGGUUCUUUUUAUCCUUACAGUUGAUAUUUUCAGGUUUUUAUCCAUGGAGCACCAUGAUUCCUGGUCUUCAGUUCCAAGUCGGAAGAGGAAGUUGCAAGAAGAAGAUGAGCGCAUGCUUAGCUUCUGCAUCGAUGAGCUCAAUCAAGACCUUCUUGAAAGGGUUCUUUCCUGGCUUCCAACCUCCACAUUUUUUCGCCUUAGGUCAGUUUGCAAGAGAUGGAAAUCAGUAGCAGAUUCUGCAAGUUUCAAGUUUGCCUGCUCUGAGAUUCCUUCAAGAGAUCCAUGGUUUUUUAUGGUCAAUCCCCACCUUAACAAAUGGACCAUCUUUGACUCUGCUGAAAGAAGUUGGAAGAAACUCAAUCAUCCACCUCUCUUCCAGCAAAGUUCUACCUCCAACUCAAUGCCUGUGGCAGCUUCUGGUGGCUUAGUCUGCUUCCGCAAUGAAUCAGGUGACUUAAUUUUAUGCAAUCCUGUGACAGGUUCCUGCCACCAACUCCCUCCUGCUCAUCCAGCCACAGAAAAUCACUCUCUCCAUGCCAUCGCCAUGAGUACAUGUUUAAAAAAUCAGCAGUCUUACAAACUUGUUUUGAUCUCUGGUGAACUACCAAAACUGUCAUGUAAAAUCUAUAAUUCAAGUACCAGUUGUUGGGAAGAGGAGAUGUUAUUAAAAAGAAAGGUUGAUGAUUCUCAGGAAUUCGACUCAAAUGAUAACAAUGCUGUGUACUUCCUUAGCAAGGCUGGAAAUGUUGUGGCAACAGACAUGCAAAGAAGCCCAUCUAAGCAAUAUUCAUCAAUUAUGACUGUUAAAGAUGGAGAGGAAAUUGCCUAUUUCCUUAGCUCAUCUGGUACGAUUGUGGCUUGCAAUCUGACGCACAAGUGCUUCUUUGAGUACCCCAGGCUAUUGCCAGUCUUUUAUGAAUACUCCAUUGAUGUGGUGGAAUGUGGAGGAGAAAUGCUAGUUGUUUUGCUCUCAGAAUUUUUUGGAAGUGCAAGCCUUAGGGUCUGGAGGUUUGAUGAGGAAUUUCGAUCCUGGCACCAGAUUGCAGCAAUGCCUCCAGCAAUGUCGCACGAGUUUUACGGGAAGAAAGUGGACAUAAACUGUGUUGGUGCUGGUGACCAGAUAUUUAUCUGCUUAAACUCUUCUGAGUUCUUCAGCUAUAUUUUGUGUGAUUUGAGGACCAAUGAUUGGGUCGAAUUACCUAACUGCUUUAUGAAUGGUGAAGCUGUGGAGUUCAUGUCUGCCUUCUCAUUUGAACCAAGGAUUGAGGCUUCUGUCUGAGAACAAGAUUAUUUUGCAGAUGAGAGUAUUAAAUGAUUGUAAUUGCUAUUUGUGAUUCUUUUUUCUUUUCUUCCAUUUCCUUGUUUGUAUCCUCUGAUGUAUCUUUCUUAUAUUCUUUUAUGGUUGAUUAUUUUGGCAAAUUAGCCAUUGAAGGUUCGGCAUGAAGUUGAGAAGAAAUUUGCCAUAUUUAUUCACAGUGUUAGCCUGCA
rnacentral:misc_RNA from 1 species